rnacentral:rRNA from 1 species
GGCUCAGGAUGAACGCUAGCGGGAGGCCUAAUACAUGCAAGUCGAACGGGUGAAUUAGCUUCGGUUGGUUCACUAGUGGCGCACGGGUGAGUAACGCGUACGCAAUCUGCCCUAUGCUGGGGAAUAGCCCUGGGAAACUGGGAGUAAUACGCCAUAGUUCUACGGAUCUGCAUGGAUUUGUAGAUAAAGCUGCGGCGGCAUAGGAUGAGCGUGCGUCUGAUUAGGUAGUUGGUGAGGUAACGGCUCACCAAGCCGACGAUCAGUAAGGGGCGUGAGAGCGUGGCCCCUCACACGGGUACUGAGACACGGACCCGACUCCUACGGGAGGCAGCAGUAAGGAAUAUUGGACAAUGGGCGCAAGCCUGAUCCAGCCAUCCCGCGUGCUUGAUGAAGGCCCUCUGGGUUGUAAAGAGCUUUAGUCUGGGAAGAAACCGUUUUCUGCGGAAGACGCUGACGGUACCAGAAGAAUAAGCACCGGCUAACUCCGUG